rnacentral:miRNA from 1 species
AAUGUACUCCCUCCGUCCCAUAAUAUAAGAACGUUUUUUACACUAAUGUAGUGUCAAAAACGUUCUUAUAUUAUGGGACGGAGGGAGUAGUUU